rnacentral:rRNA from 2 species
AUGGUUAAGUUAGAAAGGGCGCACGGUGAAUGCCUUGGCACUAGGAGCCGAUGAAGGACGGGACUAACACCGAUAUGCUUCGGGGAGCUGUAAGUGAGCUUUGAUCCGGAGAUUUCCGAAUGGGGAAACCCACUGUUCGUAAUGGAACAGUAUCUUUAUCUGAAUACAUAGGAUAUUGAAGGCAGACCCGGGAACUGAAACAUCUAAGUACCCGGAGGAAGAGAAAGCAAAUGCGAUUUCCUGAGUAGCGGCGAGCGAAACGGAAUUAGCCCAAACCAAGAGGCUUGCCUCUUGGGUUGUAGGACACUCUAUACGGAGUUACAAAGGAACGAAGUAAAUGAAGCGACCUGGAAAGGUCCGUCGAAGAAGGUAACAACCCUGUAGUUGAAACUUCGUUCCCUCUUGAGUGGAUCCUGAGUACGGCGGAACACGUGAAAUUCCGUCGGAAGCUGGGAGGACCAUCUCCCAAGGCUAAAUACUACCUAGUGACCGAUAGUGAACCAGUACCGUGAGGGAAAGGUGAAAAGCACCCCGGAAGGGGAGUGAAAGAGAUCCUGAAACCGUGUGCCUACAAGUAGUCAGAGCCCGUUAACGGGUGAUGGCGUGCCUUUUGUAGAAUGAACCGGCGAGUUACGAUCCCAUGCAAGGUUAAGCUGAUAAGGCGGAGCCGUAGCGAAAGCGAGUCUGAAUAGGGCGUUUAGUAUGUGGUUGUAGACCCGAAACCAGGUGAUCUACCCAUGUCCAGGGUGAAGUUCAGGUAACACUGAAUGGAGGCCCGAACCCACGCACGUUGAAAAGUGCGGGGAUGAGGUGUGGGUAGCGGAGAAAUUCCAAUCGAACCUGGAGAUAGCUGGUUCUCUCCGAAAUAGCUUUAGGGCUAGCCUCAUGUUGUGAGAGUCUUGGAGGUAGAGCACUGAUUGGACUAGGGGCCCCAACGGGUUACCGAAUUCAGUCAAACUCCGAAUGCCAAAGACUUAUCCAUGGGAGUCAGACUGCGAGUGAUAAGAUCCGUAGUCAAAAGGGAAACAGCCCAGACCACCAGCUAAGGUCCCCAAGUAUACGUUAAGUGGAAAAGGAUGUGGAGUUGCUUAGACAACCAGGAUGUUGGCUUAGAAGCAGCCACCAUUUAAAGAGUGCGUAAUAGCUCACUGGUCGAGUGACUCUGCGCCGAAAAUGUACCGGGGCUAAACGUAUCACCGAAGCUGUGGAUUGACAUCUUUGAUGUCAGUGGUAGGAGAGCGUUCUAAGUGCUGUGAAGUCAGACCGUAAGGACUGGUGGAGCGCUUAGAAGUGAGAAUGCCGGUAUGAGUAGCGAAAGACAAGUGAGAAUCUUGUCCACCGAAUGCCUAAGGUUUCCUGAGGAAGGCUCGUCCGCUCAGGGUUAGUCGGGACCUAAGCCGAGGCUGAAAAGCGUAGGCGAUGGCCAACAGGUUGAUAUUCCUGUACCACCUCCCCGCCGUUUGAGUAAUGGGGGGACGCAGUAGGAUAGGGUAAGCGCGCUGCUGGAUAUGCGCGUUCAAGCAGUUAGGCUGAUGAGUAGGCAAAUCCGCUCAUCAUAAAGGCUGAGCUGUGAUGACGAGGGAAUUAUAGUACCGAAGUUCCUGAUUCCACACUGCCAAGAAAAGCCUCUAGCGAGGCGGGAGGUGCCCGUACCGCAAACCGACACAGGUAGGCGAGGAGAGAAUCCUAAGGUGAUCGAGAGAACUCUCGUUAAGGAACUCGGCAAAAUGACCCCGUAACUUCGGGAGAAGGGGUGCUCUGGUAGGGUGUAUAGCCCGAGAGAGCCGCAGUGAAUAGGCCCAGGCGACUGUUUAGCAAAAACACAGGUCUCUGCGAAGCCGCAAGGCGAAGUAUAGGGGCUGACGCCUGCCCGGUGCUGGAAGGUUAAGAGGAGGGUUAUCCUUUGGGAGAAGCUCUGAAUCGAAGCCCCAGUAAACGGCGGCCGUAACUAUAACGGUCCUAAGGUAGCGAAAUUCCUUGUCGGGUAAGUUCCGACCCGCACGAAAGGCGUAACGAUCUGGGCACUGUCUCAACGAGAGACUCGGUGAAAUUAUAGUACCUGUGAAGAUGCAGGUUACCCGCGACAGGACGGAAAGACCCCGUGGAGCUUUACUGUAGCCUGAUAUUGAAUUUUGGUACAGCUUGUACAGGAUAGGUAGGAGCCUGAGAAGCCGGAGCGCUAGCUUCGGUGGAGGCGUCGGUGGGAUACUACCCUGGCUGUAUUGAAAUUCUAACCCGCGGCCCUGAUCGGGCCGGGAGACAGUGUCAGGUGGGCAGUUUGACUGGGGCGGUCGCCUCCUAAAAUGUAACGGAGGCGCCCAAAGGUUCCCUCAGAAUGGUUGGAAAUCAUUCGUAGAGUGUAAAGGCACAAGGGAGCUUGACUGCGAGACCUACAAGUCGAGCAGGGACGAAAGUCGGGCUUAGUGAUCCGGUGGUUCCGCAUGGAAGGGCCAUCGCUCAACGGAUAAAAGCUACCCGGGAUAACAGGCUUAUCUCCCCCAAGAGUCCACAUCGACGGGGAGGUUUGGCACCUCGAUGUCGGCUCAUCGCAUCCUGGGGCUGUAGUCGGUCCCAAGGGUUGGGCUGUUCGCCCAUUAAAGCGGUACGCGAGCUGGGUUCAGAACGUCGUGAGACAGUUCGGUCCCUAUCCGUCGUGGGCGUAGGAAAUUUGAGAGGAGCUGUCCUUAGUACGAGAGGACCGGGAUGGACACACCGCUGGUGUACCAGUUGUCUUGCCAAAGGCAUCGCUGGGUAGCUAUGUGUGGACGGGAUAAGUGCUGAAAGCAUCUAAGCAUGAAGCCCCCCUCAAGAUGAGAUUUCCCAUAGCGUAAGCUAGUAAGAUCCCUGAAAGAUGAUCAGGUUGAUAGGUCAGAGGUGGAAGCGUGGCGACAUGUGUAGCUGACUGAUACUAAUCGAUCGAGGACUUAACCAAAC